UUUUUUACAUUUUACACUUCAAUACCUAUGAUGUCUGUAAAUUUUGAAAAAAUUGACUUAUGCUUUGAUGAAAUAUAUGAACUUAAAAAACAUGUCAAUUUUUGAAAAACGGCAACGCCAUAUUUCCGCUCUUGGCAUUUUUUGAGAAAAACUAAAAACGCAGUUUUGUUGGAAUCAAUAAGAGUACUGCGCACACCAAAUUUAAAUGAAAUCGUUAGAGCCGUUUUCGAGAAAUUUGAAAUACCUCGAAAACGUUAUAUGGGAGAUAUGCGUUAAAUUGGAGAUAUUAAAAAAAUAAAAAAAACGGACCUAGGGAAUUACGUAAAAAUCAUCUGUACCAAGUUUCAAGCAAAUCCAUCCACCCGUUUAGGCCCUAGCUCGAUGUACAGAUGGACGCACAGACGCACAGACGCACACACGCACAGACCGACGGACGGCAUGACGAAAACCACUUUUUUGAUCUUCUCCAUCAUCGUAAUGUUGGUUUUGAUUAAAACCUCGAUUUUUUUUUCUACACGAAACCAAUACUUGCCCUAUAGAGAAAGUAAAAAAGGACAUAUGUAUGUAUUUAUAUUAUAUUACCCCGCACGCAUCAAGCGCUAUUGCAUUUAUCAAAUGGAAAGCCAGUUUUAUAAAUAAACAAAUAACAAUUGGAAUUUUAUUUAAAGGAAAUAUUAGUUCAGCUCAUAACAAAGUUUUUGAUUAGAAUAAUUAAUAUUGAAAAAUAAUUUUCUGAUAUAAAAUUAUUUACUAACUCAAUAUAUAAAACAAAAAACAAGUAGUUGUAAAUAACAAGUAACAUAUAAUAAGUUCUUAACUUCAAUACUUUCCCUUGUUACUUGAAAAUUACAUUUAAGCAUCUUGUCCCAUUUGUUUGCAUAAUGUUUUAAGACGAUGGCUUGGUAAUUUCUUUGUCAUUACAUCUGCAAGUUGAUGUUCAGUUGAAAUUUGUUGAACCAUAAUUUGACCUUCAAUAACUUUCUCUCUAAUGAAGAAAUGUUUUAUGGCAAUAUGUUUCGUCCUGUUUUCAUACAACCCCCAAAAUCUGCAUCACUGUAGCAUUCCAGUAUUCGUUUUUCUGCAUCAUUUCGAUAAGUUAUACCAUACUCUAAUGUUCCUGCUAUGUAUCGAAAAACUCUCUUGACUCUUGUAAUAUCUUCAGGUGAUGGAUUUUCGAGUGUUCUUGAAAGAAAUCCUACACUAUAUGCAAGAUCCGGUCUUAUUCCAAGCAUUAAAUACAUUAAUCCACCAACGGCUUGUCUGUAUGGAAAUGUGUUUUUCUCUGUUUCUUCUUUCCCUGAUUUGAAAGUUUCAGUAUUCUUGAUCAUAGGAGUUGAAAUCGAUUUGCACUCAGAAAAAUUAAAUCUUUCAAGAAUUCUUCUAGCAUGUGCUGUCUGUUUAAUUUUAAUGUUUUUAUUUUUCAACUCGAUUUCUAGUCCCAGAAAAUAAACAGCUUCCUUCGAAAUGAUUUUAAAUUCUUGUUUAAGUUCUUUUAUGAAUAAAUCUAGGUCUUUCUUAUCUGUGGCCGCAACUAAGCCGUCAUCAACAUAUAAAACGAGAAUAAGUUUAUUCCCAUUUCUUUCUCGAAUAAACAAACAUGGAUCAGCUUCACUUGUUUUGAAUCCCAAAUUCAAAAUAAAGUUUCCAAACCGUUUAUUCCAGCACCUUGACGACUUUUUAAGACCAUAAAGACUUCUUUUUAGUUUACAUACCUUAUCUGUGCCAUCAGCAAACCCCUCUGGUUGCUUCAUGAGUAUGACUUCUUCAAGUUCUCCGUAUAGAAAGGCUGUUGAUACGUCAAAUUGCGCAAGGUGCAUGCCUUCACUUGCAGCAAUACUUAAAAUUGACCGUAUCGUCCCUAACUUCGCAACAGGACUGAACGUUUGACAGAAGUCAAUACCAUAACGCUGGCUAAAACCUUUUGCUACUAACCUGGCUUUAUAUUUGUCGAUACUACCAUCAGGAUUUUUCUUCAGAUUGUAAACCCACUUGCAAGGUAUAGCUUUUGUUCCUUUCGGUAGUUCGGUUAGUAUCCAUGUCUGGUUUUCUUUGAGUGAUGUAAUUUCUCUUUGCAUUGCCUUUUUCCACUCAUUUUUGUUCUUAUUGGUAGUUGCUUCUUGGUAAUUUUCAGGACUUUCUAAAUUACUUACAAAUUCUUCCGCUGACAUAACAAAAUCAUCGAACUUCAUUGGUCUCUUCAAUUGUGUGCUUUUUCUUAGACUUUCUUUUCCUAUUGAUGGUUUUUGGAUUUCUUCUUCUUCAUUGUCUAGAUCAGUGUCUUGGCCGGUAUAAUAUUCAUCACUUUCUAUAUCUUCUUCAUUGUCAAAUUCAUUGUCACUGUUGGUUCUAUAUUCUUCGUUUUCUGUCAUAGUUGGUUCUUCAUCUAUAAAUGUAUUUUCAGGUUCAUCGUCAGAUCUUUCUUCUUUAACAUCAUGUAGGGGUAAAUUAACAGUAUUCUUACAAAUUCUUGGCCUUUCUUGAAAUUGGACAUCUCUAGAUAAUAUAACUUUAUUAUCUUCCUUGUUGAAUAUUCGAAACCGUUCAUCACCAUCAUAUCCAACUAGAUAUCCCUUCACAGCUUUCUUAUCCAUUUUCUUUCUCUUCUGUAAAGGUACAUGCGUAAAACAUGUAGACCCAAUGAUUCUGAGGUGUUUUAUUCUAGGUUUCUUUCCCAUCCAGAGCUCGUAUGGACUUUUUUCUUGAAUUGAUGAUUUGCCGGUUCUGUUCAAAAUAUAUACAGCAGAAUUAACUAAUUCUGCCCAAAUAGCUUCUGGAAAUGUAACUUCUGAGUUGGAAUAUUUGAAAGUUCUUGCCAUUUCUAUGAUAGUUCUGUUUUCUCGUUCACUUCCACCAUUUUGCUGAGGUGUAUAAGGAGCGGUCAGUCUUUGCACAAUGCCAUGAUCUCGAAGUAUGUUUUUGACUUCAGCAUUGUCGAACUCACCACCAUUGUCACUUAAUAAUUCUUUGAUAUUAUGACCUAAACCUUUUGCAUGUGCUAGCACUUCUUUCAGGGCAUCUUUUACGUCUGACUUUCUUUCAAUUGCAAAACCAUAGCGAUAUUUUGUGAAACUAUCUUGAAACACAACUAAAUAACGCUUGUUCUUGAAUGAACCACUGAACGGUCCACAAACAUCAGUCGACAUUAACUCGCCUGGUUGAGUUGCUUUUCUUCGAGUUCCAAAAGAUAAUCGAUGCAUCUUCCCAUAAAUACAUGGCUCACAAAUAGUAUUAUCUAGUUUUACAUUGAUUCCCAACUCUCUUUCUAGUAAUGCUUUGACGUGACGUUUGUCUUGGUGACCCCAUCUCUCGUGGUAAAGUUGUAAUGUUGUGCUUUCAUUGACUGCAAUGUUUAGACCACAUCUUUCUUGAGUUUUGACUGUUCUUAUAUCUGCUUUAUACAAUGACCCAUUCGUCUUACGAUGGCCACAUAACAAGACUUGACCAUUUACUUCAAGCCAGCAUUUUGUAGGCAAUGACUUAAAUAUGCUAUUUUGGUUUCUGUCUUGAGAUGCUAGUACUGAAAAUAAAUUUCUAGAAACAUUAGGUACAUACCAUACAUCUCUCAAUGUAAUUUCGAUCUCUUCACUAUUGACUCGGGACAUCAUUAGUAUGUUUCCUUUGCCAACUGCUUUUAAAGUUUCCUUUCCAGCUGCUUGAAUACUGCACGGAGUCUCAAAUUCUUUAAACUCGUAGAAGUAAUCUGCAGAAUUAGUGACAUGUUUUGUUGCCCCAUUGUCAACCCACCAAUCGUUUGAGUUUUCUUCAUAUGUUAGAACUUCGUUGCAGACUGAAACAAGCGAAGCAUUCACACCCUUCGAAUCGAUCUGGUUGACAUAUGGCUCUUUACUUCUAUUUGGUCUUCCGUCAGAUAUCCAUUUUCUACAAUCCCGCAGCAAAUGACCUUUUUUCUUGCAGUAAUUACAUAAAUCGUCUUUUCUGGGCCACUUCUUCUUAAUAUUUAUAUCAUAUUUCUUAUGAGUUCUUGCUAUUAGGGCGUCUUGAGAAUCGUCUUCUUGAGUAGUCUUCUGAAAAUUUCUCUCGAACAAACAUAUUUGUGCUGUCAGUUCGUCAAAAGUUUUCUCUUCUUCUUUGGUUAAGAGCAUCCAACUUGAUUUGAAUGACUCAUAUUUGCUUGGUAAAAUGUGUAAAAUCUUGCACACUAGCAUUAAAUCUGGUAAUGCGUUAUACUUUUUAGCAAUAAGACCAUUAUAAAGCUCAUUCCAUAAGUUUCUCAACUGAGCAAUGUGUGUAGACACAUCAUCGCCUGUCUUCCAGUUGAAACUAAAAAGAUCAGUACAAAUUUUGAAUAGCUGAUCUUUGGAAGACGCUUCAAAUUGAUUCUUCAAUGCAUUCCAUGCAUCGUAGGCCGUUUCCUUGUCCAUGAUUUUCUGAUAUACAGCAUCAGUUACAGAGCUAGUUAUCAUAGACUUUGAGUAACUAUUUGCUCUUCUGUAUAAAUCACACUUCGCCUUGUGUUCUUUCUUCUCAGGUUCCGUAGCAGUGGCUGCCAAUGCUUCAGGCUUCUCUAAUUUGCCAUCAAUGACGUCAACUGCCCCUUCGUGAUAAUCAAGAAGAUCUCGCAUUUUCCGCUUCCAUAUUGGCCAAUCUUGUUCACCAGUUAAUAAUCUAAUAUUCUUCAUUAGAUCCAUAUCUUUAUCUUAUAUCUUCUUAAUUUUUCUUUGAAAAUGAAUCUUCUUUUUAUCGUUACCGAAAAAUAAUAUUUCUUUAAAUAAUCUGUUUAAUAUUUAUUUAUAAAAUAGCUGCUGGUCCCAUAACCUAUUGCAUUUAUUAAAUGGAAAGCCAGUUUUAUAAAUAAACAAAUAACAAUUGGAAUUUUAUUUAAAGGAAAUAUUAGUUCAGCUCAUAACAAAGUUUUUGAUUAGAAUAAUUAAUAUUGAAGAAUAAUUUUCUGAUAUAAAAUUAUUUACUAACUCAAUAUAUAAAACAAAAAACAAGUAGUUGUAAAUAACAAGUAACAUAUAAUAAGUUCUUAACUUCAAUAAGCGCGAGUGUAGUAUAAUAAAUAAUACAACCCAGAAAUCAACCUAAAUAUGCAAAUCAAUCAUUGUGUACAUGUCAAAUGUCAAUAUACAUUUUUACACACAAACAAGUGCAUAUUUACCAAUGUACCCACAUAUCUAAUCCUUUACCUAUAUCCCCGCACGAGCCAUGUGAAUAUUACACAAUGCAAAGAACAGAACAACCCUUCAAGCAAGAAAACUGAGUUCAACAAAGAAACUCCGACCUCAGACCGCGAAAAUCAGGCUUGCACUCACACACUUGCAACUUUUUGUGUAUGAACACAAAGUCGAACGAGAAUCGUGGUGAAAAAUGAGAAAAGGAAAAGAAAGACAAGGCCAACAAGAGCCAAAGCGUCAUUUUGUUAUUUUUUGUUGAAGUGUUUGGUCGCGUCGUGUCUCGUGUCGUUGUUUGUAUAAUGUUAGUUUAUUAAUUAUAAACAAUUUUAUUAAAUUAUAAACAAUAUGGAAAACAAAAAAGAUGUAAUCUCUAAUGAUGAAGAAAAAUCUAGAAGGUGAAACAUGCGAUUGGGUAUCUAAAAAAACACCAACAACAGCAGCAGCAUCAAAUGAAAUAAAAUGAAAAAAAAUGUAUUGUAUUUUAUAUUGUAUUUAUUGUGAAAAUUUCGUUUGCCAAAAUAAAAUAAAAAAUAAAACAGUUUCAGUGAAAAAAAAAUAAA